rnacentral:rRNA from 1 species
GACGAACGCUGGCGGCGUGCCUAAUACAUGCAAGUCGAGCGCAGGAAGCCGUCUGAACCCUUCGGGGGGACGACGGUGGAAUGAGCGGCGGACGGGUGAGUAACACGUAAAGAACCUGCCCAUAGGUCUGGGAUAACCACGAGAAAUCGGGGCUAAUACCGGAUGUGUCAUCGGACCGCAUGGUCCGCUGAUGAAAGGCGCUUCGGCGUCGCCCAUGGAUGGCUUUGCGGUGCAUUAGCUAGUUGGUGGGGUAACGGCCCACCAAGGCGACGAUGUAUAGCCGCCCUGAGAGGGGGAUCGGCCACACUGGGACUGAGACACGGCCCAGACUCCUACGGGAGGCAGCAGUAGGGAAUCUUCCACAAUGGACGAAAGUCUGAUGGAGCAACGCCGCGUGAACGAUGGAGGCUUUCGGGUCGUAAAGUUCUGUUGUAAGGGAAGAACAAGUGCCGCAGGCAAUGGCGGCACCUUGACGGUACCUUGCGAGAAAGCCACGGCUAACUACGUGCCAGCCGCCGCCGUAACAC